ensembl:lncRNA
UUUUUUUUUUUUUUUUUUUUUUUUUUUUGUCUUUUUAGGUCCGGCAUCCACAGCAUAUGGAAAUUCCCAGGCUUGGGGUCAAAUCAAAGCUGUAGCUACUAGCAUACACCACAGCCACAGCAUCACCAGACCUGAGCCAUGUCUGCGACCUACGCCACAGCUCACAGCAACGCCAGAUCCUUAACCCACUGAGUGAGGCCAGGGAUCAAACCUGCAACUUCAUGGAUACCAGUCAGGUUCAUUACCACUGAGCCACAAGGGGAACUCCAUAAGUCUGAUUCUUUUCACAAAGAAAAAAGGCAAGGACCCUUGUGAAUUGUCUCCAGAUCCUUGACUCUAGGGGAUGUAUGACAGAGAACAGAGAGGCUCGGUACUUGCCCAGAGGCACACAGCAGGAUUCCGCCAGGGGAGCUUGGGUAGAGGUAAGGUGACUUGUGGGUGGUACCCGCAUUGUGUGUCUCUGGGCAUCAAGUCUACAUCUUUUUCCUCCAGAGAAGAAAUGUAUGAAGCAAGACCCCUCUCCAGGAGCCUCUUCUUGUACACCUUCCUGCAAAACCAUGGCCCCAGCUUCCUGGACGAGCAAGUGGUGGGGGUUCCUGGCGUGACCAAUAUCUUGGAGUUCCACCCCGAGGUCUCCCCCCACAGCAGUGAGGCCCCCCAUCACCUGGCCAUGCAGCUGGCCUCCAUUGCCGAUGAUCUGGAGCUGAGGUUGCUGCUGCCCCAGUUCGCCGAGCCACUCUGGAUGAUCGUGUACAGCUCUUUCUUCCCCUUUAGCCAGAUAGGCCCGAGGGAUGUUCUUCGAAGCUUCAUGAUUGCGUUCACGAACCUCAGGGAGAACCGAAGGCUCAGGAGCAUCUUGUCCCUCAGGGACAGGGUAAGCUUUGAGAUUUGGGGGCCUUGAUGUGGCGACAGCUGUGGAGCAGCUGCUCCAUGGGGCACACUCUGGAGGCCACCGUCCCCACCACUCCCGACUGCCUCGUCUUGCCUGGUCUCCUCUUUCUGCUGCCGCCAGGCCCCUGAGGGGACGCCUGGAUCCCUGCCUGUUUCCCCACCCACGCUGCUGUCCCUCUGCCAGGAGUGGCCCUCACCUGGCAGGCUGGCUCCUCACUGUCGCCUCUUGUCCUGAGCAGCUUUCCUAAUGGCUCCCCUUCCUCCCCAGCAGCACUGCAGGUUGUCCCUCGUGCCAGUUGGUUGUGUCACACCGGCUAUGGCAGGCUGGCAGCCCCUUCUGCCACGGCCCAGAGCCACUCUUCCAUCCCUCUUCUGCUGCUCCUCUUUCUGUCACCUCCUCCCAGUUCUGAGUGAGGUGCUCCCGCCUCCCCCACCUGACCUGACUCCCCCGUCACCACCCAGCCUCCCCGCUGACUGGCUGGUCCCCGUGUCCAGAGCGGGUGCAGGGGGUGAGGCAGACUGAAGGGGCUCACGUGUCCCCUCCUUCAUCCCACAGGUGUCUCCCAGCCUGUGGCCCGAGCUGGCGCUGUCCCUGCUGCUGGUGGUGAUGCUUGCCUGGAGGUGACCAGCUGCUGGCCAGUGUGGGGUGGGGCGGGCCCCUCCCCCUUGACCACCACCCUGGAGGUGGCCGUUUUGGAUUUGUUGUCUUUAACUGGUGAUCUUUUUUUUUUUUUUUUUAAAUAUUUAAACUCCAAGUGCUGGGACACUGAGGUUCAUAUUCAUUUUUUUCUUUUCUUUCUUUUUUUUGUAAGAGAAAUGAAUUCAUUAUACUUCCAGGGUCGUUACUGGUGAACGCACCUGCUCCCCUGGCCCAGCCCGCGCUGUGCCGAGAAGGUGCCUCCUCCUUGUGGGUUGGUCACAGCGGACGUCAGGGGGGGUGCUGGUCACACCCCUGUGUCUGUGAUGCCUGCGGCAAAAAAGAAUCUGCUGGAAUAGAUUUCUGCAGGGUGAGGAGAGCUCAAUAAAAUGUUGGUUUCCAGCCA